GCUUGCUUCUCUUGAGAGCGGCGGACGGGUGAGUAAUGCCUAGGAAUCUGCCUGGUAGUGGGGGAUAACGUUCGGAAACGGACGCUAAUACCGCAUACGUCCUACGGGAGAAAGCAGGGGACCUUCGGGCCUUGCGCUAUCAGAUGAGCCUAGGUCGGAUUAGCUAGUUGGUGGGGUAAUGGCUCACCAAGGCGACGAUCCGUAACUGGUCUGAGAGGAUGAUCAGUCACACUGGAACUGAGACACGGUCCAGACUCCUACGGGAGGCAGCAGUGGGGAAUAUUGGACAAUGGGCGAAAGCCUGAUCCAGCCAUGCCGCGUGUGUGAAGAAGGUCUUCGGAUUGUAAAGCACUUUAAGUUGGGAGGAAGGGCAUUAAACUAAUACUUUACUGUUUUGACGUUACCGACAGAAUAAGCACCGGCUAACUCUGUGCCAGCAGCCGCGGUAAUACAGAGGGUGCAAGCGUUAAUCGGAAUUACUGGGCGUAAAGCGCGCGUAGGUGGUUCGUUAAGUUGGAUGUGAAAUCCCCGGGCUCAACCUGGGAACUGCAUUCAAAACUG
rnacentral:rRNA from 1 species